UGCCCUCUGAUUCCUGGCCGAAGCAAAUGCAUAUUGUCUCUGAAGCAAAGUAAGAGGGCUUUAAAAUUCUCACAAAUUAAGAUCAACAAAAGAUGAGCUCACAAAUAUCAUCAAACUCACAAGGAAACAGGUCACAGCACUCUGAAGAUAUUAUUCCACUGUCUUCUGGCUUCUGUUGUUGCUCUUGAGAAGUCUGCCAUCUGUCUCAUUGUUGUUCCUUUUGCCUUGGACAGUUCUGAUUUUGUGAAGAGAAUCAGUGCCAAUCCUUGACCUUUUUGUCUCUUGGGUUUUUUCCAUACCGUUAAGAGACAGGCAAGUGAAGUCAGCAAAUGUCCCAAGGGUAGCUGUGACUUCAAAGCAUGCUAACCUCUGGCUUCUGAUGAUCUCUUCAUUUUGCCCCCUUUGGAUCUCCUUUACUUUUUUUUAACUGUGGCAUACUUGUAAAAGGAUGUUUGUCAUAUAUUACCUAGCAUUUCUUGGUGUUUUGGUGAAAUCUGACCACUGUUCAUAUACUUGCAGUAUUGAUUGUGUCCUUCUACCUUUGAACAUACUAUAUCUACUUUUCUUUAUGUCCUCUGUAAAGUUUCAUUGCCUUUUUAAAAGAUCUUGCACAUUUCUUGGUAAGUAAUUUCCCUAGUACUUCAUAAAUUUUGUUCAUAUUAUAAAUAGGAAUAUUUUGUUCUGUGAAAAAAUUCAUAGAUAUAAAUACACAUACAUAGAGUGAAAUAUUCAUCUCUAUAAAUGGAUAAUAGCCUUACAAAAAUAUCUAAUAGUUUUUCAGUGGAUCAUUUUGGAUUUCUAGGUUGAUAAUUUGCUCUCCACAUAUAAUGUAUGAUCCUUUUCUAUAUGUACCAUUAAAAGAAAACUAAUCAGUAGAAGGAGCUGAGUAUUUGAGUAUAUCACAUUUUGAAAACAGUUAUUUUUGUUUUUCAAACUAAUUGGGGGUGCUUCUAAUGUUUAAUUUUAAAAUUUUCUAUUAAAUAUGUUUAUAUAGGUUUCUGGUAAAUACCCUUAAUUAGGUUAAGGAAAAGCCAUUUGGUCUUAGAGUUUCUAAUACAGUCUUAAAAUACAUUUUCUGAUGUUGAACUAUUUCUGCGUUUAUAGGAUAAACCUUAUUUGAUAAUGAUGUAAUGAUGUAUUAGACUACACAGCUAGAUUCUCUGUUGCUAAUAUUUUACUUUUGAAAAUUUACCUGUGUUUGUUUGUGAUAUUGGAUUGGUUUUCCUGAGCUUUCUUUGCCCAGUUUUGUUACCUGAGUUCAUUUAAUUUUGUAAAAUGACUUGGGUGGAUUUCUCUAUUUUUAUACGUUCAAAAACAGUUAUAUGUAAUCUUGCCAGUAAAACUAUCAGUCAUCAGUAUCUACUGCCUUUUAGGAGCAUAGACAUUGAACUCAAAUUUUAAAUUCUAAUGUGGUUAUUGAUGUAUAUUCAGAUUUUCUAUCUUCAUGGGUCAUUUUAAAAAUUAUUUUCAUCCAUUUCAUUACUUUUAUAAUUUACUAUUGAGUUAUAUAUAGUUUUUUUGUCAUAAGCACUUUUGAAUUCCUUUGGACUUGGGGGAGUUAAGGUCUUUUCUUUUCCAGUGUUUUGGAUUUGUGCCCAAUCUGAUUUUUUUCCUACAUGUCAAAGUUUUGUAUCAUGUAUUGGUGUUUGCAAAUAAUUAACUUGUUGUUUUGCUAGCCAUUUCUAUUCUUUCUGCAUUCUAGUUUACUUGUUUAUUGAUUUUUAGAUAACUAAUUGUUUUAUUUCUCUCCUUGAGUUGAACCUUAAUUUUCUUGUUUUUAAUUAUUUCUUGUUUUCUAAUAAAUGGAUUUAAGGCUGUAAGUUUUCUGUGGUACAUUAGCUGAAUCUCAUGGGAUUUCACACAAGGUUGCUCUUGGUAUUUAGUUUUAAAUUGUGAGUUUUAGUUUUCUUUCAUUUUCCUUUUAUGAUAAUCAUAUGGAAGUAUCUUAGUUACAUUAUAUAUUUUUUGCAUGCUUUUGUAAUUUCUAAUUUUAUUGUAAUGUGUUAACAUGUCAUCGGUUUUACCCAUCUACCCAUCUUAUGUUCCAGUCUACUCUGUCUUUAUUUCUUGUCUGUUUAUAUUAGGUCCUAAAAGGGGGAAAGAUACUGUUUCCUUCUACUUACACAACACUUUUGAUCCUAGAUGUGUGAAUUUUCCCAUACCAAGCAAUUCUCUAGUUCUUGGUGGACACCAACUGGGUAUUCUACAGUUAACUCAGUUCUGACACUAACUCUGCAGAGUAGUACAGACACCACAAGUUAAGGGCUCAGUCCAAUAAGAUUGACCACCACUUCAGAUGACAAUUCCAAGUUCCAAGUUGUCACAGGCACUUCUGACUGACUGGCUAUAAAUCAGGGUUUCUCAGUGGCUAUAAAUCUCAGGUUCAAUAAUUUGCUAGAAUGAUUCACAGAUCUUAGAAAAACAUUGACACUUAGCAGUUUAUUAUAAAGGAUACAACUCAGGAGCAGCUAAAUGAAAGAAAUGCUUAGUUUUUACUGUUUAUGUUGGAAUCAGCCUAUCAAUAAUCAAUACUGUGGCCAGACCAGCCCUUGUAGUUCUUACGGUGAUUGCAAGUAAGUAUGUAUCAGCAGUAUGUAUCAGGAAAACUUUGAGAAAAUAAAAGUUUAUUUACUUACAGGACCUGGAAAUUACAUAGCACAUCUGAGGUCACACAGCGAGGUUGUUAGGGAAGAGAGAAUACAGGAGAGAAAAAGAGAGCCAGCCAGUACACAGGCAUGUGUGUGAGCCUGGGGUUCUGCUUUAACUGGGGUUGAGGAUUUCACAGGCCCAUUCAUUAGUGAAUUUAAAAGGUGGAAUUGGGAGUCUAAAGCAUGGGAAGAUAAAAAAACAAGUGGCCCAGAUGGUCAGUUAUUGAAAUCAACUAAGGUCUCUAAAACAAAGGAGCUUACUGUGGGGAUGCAGCCUGACUCAGCCUGCCUCUUUACCUAGUUGUGUGGCUGGCAGCAUGUUUAUUGGUCCAGACAUGCUUGAAAUGAAUGCCUUGACAAUCAAAGUUUAACUCAUACUCUUGCAUUACAGGAAAAAAAAAACAAAACACCAACUGUAAGGCUUAUACCUUAGGAAGGUAUGGAGAAGAGUUGCAGAGCUUCCAUACCCUCUCCAGGUAUAUCACUCUUUUAGCACUUCAGUGUAUUCACUGAGUCAGAAGCUCUCUGAAUCCCUUCUGUUAGGGUUUUUCAUGAAGGCUUCAUUAAAUAGGCAUGAUUGAUGAACUCAUUGGCCAUUUGUAAUUAAUUCAACUUCCAGGGGAUCUUCCUGACCCACAUCUCCUGCAUUGGCAGGUGAGUUCUUUACCACUGAGUCAGCAGGGAAGCCCCAGCAACACAUUACUGUGGCAUGAAAUCAGUUUAGUGGUUUUUGAUUCUGUGUGAGAGAAGGUGGAGUGGAGAGGAAAAAGAUGACUAAAAUAGUGUAGUGUAGAAUAGAAUAGAAAACAGAAUAGGUAUUGUUUUAUAAAACUAAAUAUAUAUCAGGUUCUGAUGUGAAAGGUAAGUAGUACACCAUAUUUGAAAAACACUGAGGUUACUUCCCAUGGAUAUUAUUUCCAUAUAUAUAUUUUCAUAUACAGUCUUUGCUACUAUGGAAGUUCUUUUGAAAUGACAACAGAAAUUU